UGCUUGAAGCAUGUGUGAAAACCUUUUUAUUGUUUUCUAAUAGAGUGCACAUCCUUCCCCCUUCCUCUCUCUCUCUCUCUCUCUCUCUCUCUCUCUCUCACACACACACACUCUCCCUUUCUCUAUUAUUCAGGGGGAUGUUGGCCUUCCUGGCAAGCAAGGAGAGAUUGGGUUCUCAGGAGACAAGGGUAUUCAAGGUAUACCAGGGUUGCCCGGUCUGCAAGGAAAACCAGGCCUUCAGGGUAGACCAGGCGAAAGAGGUCCUGACGGGAUACCUGGUCCCCAAGGGCCAGAGGGUUUUCCUGGAGACAUCGGACCACCUGGACACAACGGCCUUGAGGGUCCAAAGGGAAAGCUUGGAGCAAGGGGAUUACCUGGGCCUAAAGGAGGUGCUGGACUGCUGGGCGAUGAGGGGCCAAUAGGCCCACCAGGACCACCAGGACAUGAGGUGAGCUUUGAUUGUCAGAGCUGCAGAAAGUUCAAAUGAGAGCGCCUGGUAACAAUUAGCUCUUCUUAAAGGAGAUGGCUGCACCGAUGUCUGAAUCGCUGACAGGAGCGGCUAUACUCUCUGUAAAGCCAUAGAUUUCAGCAGAUGUAAUGGGAUUAGUCAUA
rnacentral:lncRNA from 1 species